UACGUAGGGUGCAAGCGUUAUUCGGAAUUAUUGGGCGUAAAGGGCGCGUAGGCGGCUUGGCAAGUGGAUGGUGAAAUCCCGUCGGCUUAACCGAGGAACUGCCGUCCAAACUGCAUUCGCUUGAGACCGGGAGAGGUCGAGUGGGAAUUCCCGAUCGUGUAGCGGUGGAAAUGCGUAGAUAUUGGGAGGAACACCAGUGGCGAAGGCGGCUCACUGGACCGGUACGUGACGCUGAUGCGCGAAAGCGUGGGGA
rnacentral:rRNA from 1 species